AACAAACAGAAAGCACUCCCAUAGUCAGAAACCGCGUACAUAAAAAGCGUGCACUUCGAAUGCUUACUCUCUCUGCUCCAGUUCAGAGGAACCACCAACAGCAAUCAAAAUGUGUCGAUACCAAGAUUGGGAAGAUGACCAACCAGAUAGUGAAGUUCAUGAUGAAUAUCCUGGCAGAGAUGCAGUGACUGCUUUUAUACGCCAAAUUGAACAAUUAGAGGAUUUUUGGACAACAUGAAAGGUGAUAGUUCCAAAAAGCCAAACAAAUUUUGGUCUGGAUUCUUGUCAGGCAUCUGUUUCACCAUACUGCUCAACUAUGUGAUCAAGUACGUAACUAGUAACUCGUAACUAGUUAGGGUUGAUUUUGUAUAGCAAUUUGACAUCCCAGACCUUAUUCAGGUUCAGUGCACUUCUAAUGGCAUUUGUGUUCAGUUCUAUUCAUGUUGUGAAGAAACUCCUGUGGUUGUGGAUGUUUUGACUUGUGCAAUUUAUUUGGCUGCUUUAUGGCA